UUUUAAAGGAGUAAUUGUUAAGGGGUAAAAAAUAAUUAAUGGUGUAACAGAUAAUAUUGUUUGGUAGCAGGUUAAUAAAAGAACUUAAAUGAAAGUAUAAGUUUUAUUAACCUCGUCCCCAAAGGUUAACAUUCUAAAGAGGGUUAAAUAUUAAGGAGAUUAAAAAUUAACCUAUUCACUUACAGUAUUCAAACAACAUUAAAAAACGGGUUAAAAGUUAUAAGAGUAAUGAUUACUCCUUAUUAACCUUGUACCAAAUGCUCCAUAAGAUGGAGACACACAAUGAUAAGUGGAUGCUUGACUUAGAAAUGGAAGUAUCCAGUGUAAUAUGUAAUGCAAUAAUUAGAAGUGAAAUACAAAAAACUAAGUGAUGUCAGCACACAGUAUUAUCACUGUUAAUUAGUACAAACAAAAGGCAUAGGAAUGCGGUAUAGACCAUCCAUGGGGUCCAUAUAGAUUACCUUUUUCCACAACAUACCCGCUCUUAAAAUUAUCCUUCACACUUUCUUACCUUUUCUUUCUCACUGGACAACCUGUUUUAAAGGUUGCCAAUUGACUCAAGUCUUUGUUAAAAGUUAAAAUAAUCUAUAUAACUAAGCAAAUUUACUAGAAAUCAUCCUGCUUUUCUUCCUUUCAUGUAUCAAAACAUAAGAUUGGGUGCCUAAUUAACUUUGUAUGAAUCUGCAGUUCUUUAAACCUGAAGAAAUAAUAAGCCAUCAACAUGAUAGCCAUCUUUUUCGGAUUUGAGACACGUGCAUGGACCUUAAGACUAAUGCAUUUCCAAUUACAUCAAAUUUAUUUGAAAAUAAUAGGAUGUUGUCAAAACCCAAUAAAAGGAAAGCCCAACUACCACAAAGUACUUCAUUGCUAGAAAAUUUGAAGGAAAUGGCACAGUAAACAUGAUCUACAAGGUUUACCAGCCAGAGAAAUCUUACAUUAUACUUCUUAAAUGUCACAAUACUCAGCAGUAGAAAUGGAAUGAUUUUAUAACAUGUGCAAACUCAAAACUUCAAAAACUAUAAUCAAGCCAAAAAAGAAGCAUUUUUUCAUGCAUGGAACACCAAGAAACAUUUUAGUUAACAAACAUGCCUAGAGGAACAAGAUGGGUAAAUAUAAAUGCAAAAGAGACCAGUGAAGGAUGCAAAUCAAAACUUCUAUGCCGGUUGUAUUGACUCAAAGGUCCAAAGGUCUGUGACUCCAAACAUAAAAAUAGAAAGUAAGAGAGAGAGAGAGAGAGAG
rnacentral:misc_RNA from 1 species